rnacentral:lncRNA from 1 species
AAUCCCAGCACUUUGGGAGGCCGAGGCGGGCGGAUCACGAGGUCAGGAGAUCGAGACCAUCCUGGCUAACAAGGUGAAACCCCGUCUCCACUAAAAAUACAAAAAAUUAGCCGGGCGUGGUGGCGGGCGCCUGUAGUCCCAGCUACUCGGGAGGCUGAGGCAGGAGAAUGGCGUGAACCCAGGAGGUGGAGCUUGCAGUGAGCCGAGAUUGCGCCACUGCAGU